GAGAUAGCUCAGCUGGUUAGAACGUGGUGCUGAUAACACCAAGGUCGCAGGUUUGAUCCCUGCAUGGGACA
rnacentral:tRNA from 1 species